GAUGAAGAACGCAGCGAAAUGCGAUAAGUAAUGUGUAUUGCAGAAUUCAGUGAAUCAUCGAAUCUUUGAACGCACAUUGCGCCCGCCAGUAUUCUGGCGGGCAUGCCUGUUCGAGCGUCAUUUCAACCAUCAAGCCCCCGGCUUGUGUUGGGGACCUGCGGCUGCCGCAGGCCCUGAAAAGCAGUGGCGGGCUCGCUGUCACACCGAGCGUAGUAGCAUACAUCUCGCUCUGGGCGUGCUGCGGGUUCCGGCCGUUAAACCACCUUCAUAACCCAAGGUUGACCUCGGAUCAGGUAGGAAGACCCGCUGAACUUAAGCAUAUCAAUAAGCGGAGGA
rnacentral:misc_RNA from 1 species